rnacentral:ncRNA from 2 species
GGGCGUAAAGGCAAUGGUGUCUGCCUCAAACCGCCUGUAGUAUUGUCAGGAUGAUGGCGCCUGCUCAUCG